rnacentral:lncRNA from 1 species
UCAGACUCAAGCUUCAUGGUAUAUCUUGCGUCUUAGAGCCUUCACUACUCAGUUAAAUAAAUAAAAAAAAAGUUUCCUUCGUUAAAAAUCAUAUCCGGCUUUGUUCAUUUGUUCAUAGAAGGUUUGUUUCCAUUUAUAGUUGAUGUCCAUUUAUAAUUGAUGUAACAAUAGCACUUUUAGUUAUUGAUUAUACUCUAGUUUGCAUUCACAAAUAUAGCAUAUAACAAAAACGCCAACAAGAAGAUGCCAACACUGCUAAAUCAUAUCAACCUCAUUGAGACUACUUUGUCUGUUAAUAUAAAGGGAAAAAAAAAAGACAAAUUAAUCUAUUGUUGAAGUUGGAUAUGGAUUGGCUCUUCUAAAUAUUAGGUUUAGGUCCAAUAUAUCUGAAUCGCUUAAUUAAGUUCGAUUGUUUUAAAAAAAAUUUGUUAAUAUUUCAAUAAUUUUGUAUGUAUUUUAAAAGUAAUAUUAAAUAAAAAAAUUGUUUUAUAUUAAUAAAAUAAUAUAUCAGAGCGAGUUCCAUCGAACUUCGCUUGACCAAGUCAGGUCAAACCAAUAAGCUAGGUGGACCAUCCAAUCAUGAAAAGGUGUAGAGAGAAAGUUACCCAUUGCCAGGAAAUUAAUGAUGGAUGAAAGUUUCAACGAAAAAGAAAGAAGAUUUAUUCUCCAAGGAGCCAGUUCAUACUUUGACACAUGUUGACGACAACCAUUUCCCAAAGUCAACUUAAUUGAGAAGUUGCGGUUAUUAUUCUUUUGAAAAUGUCCAUAAAAUAAAAAUAAAAAUCAAAUUAAUGGCAUAUUUUUCGAUUAAAAAUAAAGUAAUAUCCCUUCUCUUUUACAUAUGGAUGUUGUUAUUUAUUGAAAAGACUUUUCACAAAAUUUAAAGAGUAAAAAAAAAAUAGAUAAUACAAGAAAACAAGUUUAUUUGAAUUUUUUAUCUUAAAAAUUAUUCUUUAAAAAUAAUUAUAUAAAUUAAUUAAAUUAAAUUUUGUAUUCUAAUUAAAAUAAUUUAUUAAUAAAAAACAAAGUUAUCACAUUUUGGAGCGGGCUAACUAAUUAAGAUGUAAAGUGUGUGAAGAAAAAGUAAGCGCUAAUCACAAUUGACCUAAUGGACCAAUUAGAAUAUUCAAAGCAAGUUGGUAAUAUUUUUUAUAUUUGUAUGAAUUAAAUAUAAUCUUAUUAAAUUUAAUUUAAUCAUAUUUUUUAAAAUUUUAAUUAUAUAAAUUAAAUCUAAUAAAUGAAUUUAAAAUUUAUUUUUAAUUUAGACUGAAUUUAAAAAAUUUUUAAAAUUUAAAAUCAAAUUAAAUCUAAAUAAAUAUAUAAAUUAUUAAUAUUAAAUAUAAAUUUAAUUUAAUCCUAUUCAUAAAUAUCUCUAUAGAUACGGUCCUUUUUUUUUCCAAUGAUCGAAUAGCGUGGGCCUAUUGAUUAUUAUAAAAAAAUUAAAAAAAAAAGGUACUCAGUCAAAUGUCAGUUUAAAAAACAAAAAACUAUGGUCAGUGAAUAUUACUUUCGUACGUCAAUUUAUUUUCAUUGACACUCCGGUACUUUACUUUUCAUUGAGACUACUUUGUCUGUUAAUAUAAAGGGAAAAAAAAAAGAUAAAUUAAUCUAUUGUUGAAGUUGGAUAUGGAUUGGCUCUUCUAAAUAUUAGGUUUAGGUCCAAUAUAUCUGGAUCCGCUUAAUUAAGUU